rnacentral:rRNA from 1 species
GAUGAACGCUGGCGGCGUGCUUAACACAUGCAAGUCGAACGAAGCACUUUAUUUGAUUUCCUUCGGGACUGAUUAUUUUGUGACUGAGUGGCGGACGGGUGAGUAACGCGUGGGUAACCUGCCGUGUACAGGGGGAUAACAGUUGGAAACGGCUGCUAAUACCGCAUAAGCGCACGGCAUCGCAUGAUGCAGUGUGAAAAACUCCGGUGGUAUAAGAUGGACCCGCGUUGGAUUAGCUAGUUGGUGAGGUAACGGCCCACCAAGGCGACGAUCCAUAGCCGACAUGUGAGGGUGACCGGCCACAUUGGGACUGAGACACGGCCCAAACUCCUACGGGAGGCAGCAGUGGGGAAUAUUGCACAAUGGGCGAAAGCCUGAUGCAGCGACGCCGCGUGAGCGAAGAAGUACUUCGGUAUGUAAAGCUCUAUCAGCAGGGAAGAUAAUGACGGUACCUGACUAAGAAGCACCGGCUAAAUACGUG